rfam:Camelus ferus unplaced genomic scaffold scaffold704, whole genome shotgun sequence.
GGGUGUAACAGCUCAGUGGUAGAGCACAUGCUUAGCAUGCACGAGGUCCUGGGUUCUAUCCUCAGUACCUCCA